AUUGAACGCUGGCGGCAUGCCUUACACAUGCAAGUCGAACGGCAGCACGGGUGCUUGCACCUGGUGGCGAGUGGCGAACGGGUGAGUAAUACAUCGGAACAUGUCCUGUAGUGGGGGAUAGCCCGGCGAAAGCCGGAUUAAUACCGCAUACGAUCUACGGAUGAAAGCGGGGGACCUUCGGGCCUCACGCUAUAGGGUUGGCCGAUGGCUGAUUAGCUAGUUGGUGGGGUAAAGGCCUACCAAGGCGACGAUCAGUAGCUGGUCUGAGAGGACGACCAGCCACACUGGGACUGAGACACGGCCCAGACUCCUACGGGAGGCAGCAGUGGGGAAUUUUGGACAAUGGGCGAAAGCCUGAUCCAGCAAUGCCGCGUGUGUGAAGAAGGCCUUCGGGUUGUAAAGCACUUUUGUCCGGAAAGAAAUCCUUGGCCCUAAUACGGUCGGGGGAUGACGGUACCGGAAGAAUAAGCACCGGCUAACUACGU
rnacentral:rRNA from 1 species